rnacentral:rRNA from 1 species
GAUGAACGCUGGCGGCGUGCCUAAUACAUGCAAGUCGAGCGAACGGACGAGAAGCUUGCUUCUCUGAUGUUAGCGGCGGACGGGUGAGUAACACGUGGAUAACCUACCUAUAAGACUGGGAUAACUUCGGGAAACCGUAGCUAAUACCGGAUAAUAUUUUGAACCGCAUGGUUCAAAAGUGAAAGACGGUCUUGCUGUCACUUAUAGAUGGAUCCGCGCUGCAUUAGCUAGUUGGUAAGGUAACGGCUUACCAAGGCAACGAUGCAUAGCCGACCUGAGAGGGUGAUCGGCCACACUGGAACUGAGACACGGUCCAGACUCCUACGGGAGGCAGCAGUAGGGAAUCUUCCGCAAUGGGCGAAAGCCUGACGGAGCAACGACGCGUGAGUGAUGAAGGUCUUCGGAUCGUAAAACUCUGUUAUUAGGGAAGAACAUAUGUGUAAGUAACUGUGCACAUCUUGACGGUACCUAAUCAGAAAGCCACGGCUAACUACGU